GAUCAUGGCUCAGGAUGAACGCUAGCGACAGGCUUAACACAUGCAAGUCGAGGGGCAGCAUAAAAGUAGCAAUACUUGGUGGCGACCGGCGCACGGGUGAGUAACGCGUAUGCAACCUACCUAUCAGAGGGGAAUAACCCGGCGAAAGUCGGACUAAUACCGCAUAAAACAGGGGCACCGCAUGGUGAUAUUUGUUAAAGAAAUUCGCUGAUAGAUGGGCAUGCGUUCCAUUAGGUAGUUGGUGAGGUAACGGCUCACCAAGCCGACGAUGGAUAGGGGAACUGAGAGGUUGGUCCCCCACACUGGUACUGAGACACGGACCAGACUCCUACGGGAGGCAGCAGUGAGGAAUAUUGGUCAAUGGGCGGGAGCCUGAACCAGCCAAGUCGCGUGAAGGAAGAAGGAUCUAUGGUUCGUAAACCUCUUUUGCAGGGGAAUAAAGUGCAGGACGUGUCCUGUUUUGUAUGUACCCUGAGAAUAAGGAUCGGCUAACUCCGUGCCAGCCGCGGC
rnacentral:rRNA from 1 species